rnacentral:rRNA from 1 species
UACAGAGACCUCAAGCGUUAUCCGAAUUUAUUGGGCGUAAAGGGUCCGCAGGUGGUCAAGCGCGUCAUUGGUUAAAUCUUUGGGCUCAACUCAGAGACUGCUAGUGAUACGGCUUGACUAGAGGCUGGGAGAGGUAAGCGGAAUUGCCGGUGUAGUAGUAAAAUGCGUUAAUAUCGGCAAGAACACCAAAAGCGAAGGCAGCUUACUGGAACAAGCCUGACACCCAGGGACGAAAGCGUGGGUAGCGAAAGGG